rnacentral:misc_RNA from 1 species
AACGCACCUUGCGCUCCUUGGUAUUCCGGGGAGCAUGCCUGUUUGAGAAUCGAUCAAACCCUCAUGCCCUUUUGGGGCGUGGACUUUGGACGUUUUUGCGUGCAGCGCGUGCAAUCGUCUCAAAAGCAAACCAGUCUGUCGAUGUUCCUUAUUUUUGGGGACGGGGCUUUCAGAUGCUCAUCUCGCGAUGGUCAAUGUCUGACUGACCUGAAACCCAGGUGCAUUGGGCUUUUGGACUGACCGCAUGUGCCCCUUGGUGGGUGGCAUGCAGCAACAUGCGAAUCCAAAAGCAUGAAUUUACUUGGUCUCAAAUCAGGCAAGAAAACCCGCUGAACUUAA